AGUAACACGUACGUGACCUGUCCAGAAGUGGGGAAUAACCAGCCGAAAGGUUGGCUAAUACCGCAUGUGGUCACCCCUUGGAAGGGGAUGACGAAAGCCGAAAGGCGCUUCUGGAGGGGCGUGCGGCCGAUUAGCUAGUUGGUGUGGUAACGGCGCACCAAGGCGAUGAUCGGUAGCUGGUCUGAGAGGAUGGUCAGCCACACUGGGACUGAGACACGGCCCAG
rnacentral:rRNA from 1 species